rnacentral:rRNA from 1 species
GAUGAACGCUAGCGGCAGGCUUAACACAUGCAAGUCGAGGGGCAGCACGUCUUCGGAUGGUGGCGACCGGCGCACGGGUGCGUAACGCGUAUAGAACCUACCUUUUACAGGGGAAUAGCCCAGAGAAAUUUGGAUUAAUGCCCCAUAGUAUUAUUAGAUGGCAUCAUUUGAUAAUUAAACAUUUAUGGGUAAAAGAUGGCUAUGCGUUCUAUUAGCUAGAUGGUAAGGUAACGGCUUACCAUGGCGACGAUAGAUAGGGGUCCUGAGAGGGAGAUCCCCCCANACUGGUACUGAGACACGGACCAGACUCCUACGGGAGGCAGCAGUGAGGAA